CAAGACAUGAAGUUCUCCUCUGGAGAAAAGCCUUUAUAUGUUCCUAGGCUGGAUAACAGCAAACCCAUAGAUAAUGUCCCAAGAGAUAUAAACCUGAAAGACAAGUUCAUAAAGCAUUUCACAGACUACAAAAGAUGUGCAAGAUUGCUAACACGGCUAGCGAUGAGUCCACUUUGCUCACAAUCGUAGACACUGCAUGCUCAAAAUUUUGAAAGAGGGAUAUAUGUUUUGCCCAGGAAGUGCCUUCAAUUCACAGCAGUCACAUUAAGAACAUAUUAUUGUAAUUGUUUAUAGUAUUUUUAUUUGUGUUGUUGAUUCUGUAUGUAUAUGAAAAUGCUGGCAGCCUUUAUUGGUUUUAUGAAAUAGAUUUUCUUUUUAUCUUCAUAAAACAUGUAUUUUAAGAAAACCAUAAUUUAAUAUUGAAUACACCAAUUUAUUGAAAUGAUAUGUAUAUAAUUCAUCACAAUAAUUCAGAAAUAUACAAUUAUUUUCUUAAAGUUCUCACCUAAUGAAGAUAUUUUUUUCUCAUCAUGUCUGAAUUAAUCUCACUUAAUAUUAUUUGCUUUGUCAAUAUUACAUUCUGAGACGGUCCUACCAUGGUCGUUGAGAUAUUUAUUUCACUGUCCUUGUCUCCAUUGUAUUUAAUUUGGCACUUGAAUGAUUCCAGUCAAUGAAAACAUGUUGAAUGACGACGAAUGUAAUAAUGUACUGCAGUACUUAACAAUAAAAAAUAUU